AUUUGCCCUUUUCCAUCACCUACCAAAGAAAAUGUGGAAACAGAAAACCACGGAAAUCACCGAAAAUACAAAGGAAAGACAACCCAGAGGCUGCUCACAUGGUCAGGAUACACGGGACACGUGAGCUCAACUUAUAAAAGUCAGUGAUUUCAUAAGAGCUCCUUUUUUCUCUUUCACAUUCAGUGCAUAUUUGUUUUAUUGUUUGUGUAUUGAAUGUUGUGUAUCAAAGACCCAAUCCUUAGUCUCAUCUCACUGAAACCCUUCAUAUAAAAAAGGAAAAAUUACUUUCCCCUCUGAUGUCUGAAAGGCUGAGGGUGUGCGAAUUUUUAUCCCACACAAUGGUAAAAUCAUAUGCACAAAUGCACACACACACACACACACACACACACACACACACACAGUGCUGGCACCAUCUGAUGCCCACAGUUAGUGGUGUCAUGAAAUAAAUACUAAGAACGGAGCUGCCUGUCUGAUGAAAGAUGAGACUGUAAUGCGUUUACACUUAAUGAACUGAACCUAAAAUUAAAUAUGUAAUAAAAAGAAAAAUCCACAGUAAUUUCUGUAAUUUGGCAGAAAUGUCUUAAAAGUUAAGCUACUCCUUCUUUUGAUUAUGUAGGGCCUUGUUUCAAUUUCCCUUUUGUUGGAAUACUUUAUUAAUCUGUACCUUUUUCCAACGGUAUAAGUUUGAGAGCAGCUCAGCAGAGAGAAAACACGACAGAUGUGUUUAGGGAUUAAAAUGGAUAGCUAGUCUUUAGAUCUCAUUUCAUACACAUAUCAAUAUCUAUGCCACAAAUAUCAAACUUACUGUAACAUAUUUAUGAACAACCCAUUUUACAUUUUACAUUUACAUUUACAUGUCAACUAUUUCUACACUAGACUUGUAUGCUGCUUUUGUGGUGGAAGGCAGCUCACUGUAAUGAGCUCAAGAGCUCGCUCUAGUGGAGAAAAUCUUUAGCCUCAAACAUGGCAAUACAGCAGCUUGAAAUGACCUUCCACCUGUGACAGUGGAAUUUGUAGAUGUAGAAAAUAGUCACACAUGUGUAUCAGUACAUUUGAAGUCACAGACAAAAAUGCUGUAGGAGUUGCACAUUUUUUUUCUCUCCUACCAACACAACACAACCGUUAAGCUACACCUUCUCAAAUUCUUCAUUGCAGGUGCACAAAUCCUAUUCCACGAAACACAAAUUAAGAAACAUGCUUGACUCAAACUGGUAACUCAUUGUCCUUUGAAAUGAACGUUUCCCAUCACUCAACAAUCUGAAACAGUAAAUUCAUCAAAUUCAGUGCCCCAGGUCGCACUUUUCCACGCUAUUGCAGCUGUCAAAUACUGUUGAGGCGUUCAUCAUAUGGAAGUGGGCGUGGUUUCAUGUAUUGACCCGUGCCUGGAGGGCUUUAUAACCCAAUUGGGCUUUAGAAAGCACACUCUUCUCGAGUGCAGCGCCUCUUUUGUGUCCGGUCUGGAGAAAACGCCACAUAGGGCCUACCUUUUAAUGUGAGUCCCAUGCGGUUAAUUCCAAAGGAUAAAUAAUAAAUUGGAUUACUUCAAACAGAUGACUGAUUGUAAUUUGGAAUGAACAUGCCGUUUUGAUGGAUGAAUCCAGAGAUCGCUGUCUCUGUCCUUACAUUGAUGACAGAUCAUGAAAGUGGUCAUGUUGUUGAAGUAAACCUGCCUGCGAGCAGGUUCACAUAGUCAGUUAAGUUACCUCUCUUUCUGGAACGGAAAAGAGUUUCCCUCAUCUCAGGGUUAACAAACUCAGUCUCACUAAGCCCGCUUUCUGAAACAGGGAUGUUUGGAUACAGAACUUGUUUUUUAUUACUUCGGUUGUUUGUUGGUCCACAUUUGAGCCACAUGAUUCUGCGGGAGAACCUGUCCUAACGGUUAUAAUUUGACAUUUACUCGUCUACAUGACUACAAAAUGUCUGCGACAAAGAUCUGCGUGGGUUCAGUUCACGAAGCAUUAGCAUUACCGUCUCCCUUUUACAGUUUUUUACGAUUGCGAAGACACAAAAACUGGUACUUGUGGCCCAAUUACUGAAGCCACUAACUCAUGUAGCCUAUCUAUUGACCUGGUAUGCUAAAUCAUAAGCACAGUGUCUGCCUUACACUCAUUUAGCAAUUCUAAAACACUCUUUUUGCAAAGCACUAAACACAGUUCUCUACAUUAGAAACAUCAUUCAGAACUUAAAUCCCUGUGUUUCUUUUGGAAGACACUGCCAUUCAAAUGCCACACUACCUAAACCCACCUCACAGGUGAAAACAUUUAUGGCUAAUCUGUUCACUUAGAAAUCAGAGCUUCAGCACUAUAAAUAGGCCACAGGUUAAAAGUCUUGGUUUGGAUAACAAUGGAGGACAGUGUUGGAGAGAGGGGAUGAGGAUGAGGAUGAGGAUGAGGAUGAGGAUGAGGAACAGGAACAGGAACAGGACAAGGAUGAGUAAGAGCAACUAUUACGGAUGAGAUCCAGCCACUUUGAUUGGCCAUGUGGUCAACCAUGGGUUGUCUUUUAGGCAGAGGGCAUAGGGUCCAGCCUUAUUUGAGCCGCUACACUGUAGCAAGCAUCAUUCGGACAUUUUGAAUGAGAAUAGGUAAAUACGCCUAUCUUCUAUACCAUGCUACUGAACUCACAGAAUUGUACUGUGUAAUGCAGCAGCAAGUGUUGUGUGUUACUGUUCAUGCAAAAAAAAAACAACACAGUAUGUAAAAAACAUUCCCCUUUUUAUUUGUAUUUUACUGUGCAUAUAUACUGAAUUUGCAUAUAUUAUAUUUGUGAAAAUUCAUGUAUGUGUCCAUCAGUAUGUAGUUGGUGUGUAGAAAGAGCUAUUCAUUUGAUAUUUGUGUGUAGAGUUUUGAAUCAAAAAUACCAUUUUUACAAGAGUUAAAAUAGUUUUGGAUGAAGUGCUUGCUUUUUCCAGAAGUGUGUUUGUGUCUUUGG